rnacentral:lncRNA from 1 species
UCCAAACAGCGUGCGAAUAACCCUUUGAUUCCAGGUAUUCUCUUCCUUAUUAAUUAAAUCAGACACUCUGGUGUACCUUAUAUCAAUAUUUUGAUAUUCAAUUCUACCAUUGCCAGGUCCAGGAAGCCAUUUAUCAUUCCAAAUGUUCACUGAUUCCCCAUUACCGAUUUUCCAGCCCAUUCCUUCUUCAAGAAGAUAUCUAGCUCCCAAAAUGCUGCGCCAGGUAUACGAAGGGUAGGUUCCUAUCCCCGCACUCAUAAAAUCACCUUUUGGAAAAUACUUGGCUUUCAUUACACGUGCCAACAAACAAUCAUGUUGCAUAAUAAUUUUCCACCCCUGCUUCGCUAACAGGGCCAAAUUAAAUUUUGACAGAUCUUUAAAUCCUAAUCCUCCCUUUGCUUUGGCACUGCAUAACUCCUUCCAUUUACACCAGUGAAUCCCUUUAUCUGUUUUAGAAUUCCUC